ensembl:antisense Gm37446 predicted gene, 37446
ACCACUUUGGUGAUCAGGUAUCCAGGCUCUGCUGCCCUGGGCAAUAGCUCCGUACAGGGUGCUGAGGCAUUCUGCAUCGGGUAGAGCACGAAAGGUGAAUUGUCAUUGUCAUCUAGCACUACCACACGCACGAGGGCCUGGCUGCUGAGCGCAGGUGAGCCUCCAUCUGUGGCGUCCACGUGCAGUUCGAAGGCCUGAAGCAUCUCAUAGUCCAUCGCCCUGAGCGCAAACAGCUGCCCAUUGUCUGAAUUGAUGGAGACUAGCGAGGCGAGGGCCAGCUGUGAAUCGUGGGGCGGCAGCAGCGAGUAGGUGAUGUGGGCGUUGGAGCCUGAAUCUGAGUCUGUGGCACUGAUGGUGCCUAUAUGCAGGGCGGGACUGUUGUUCUCUUGCACAAACAGGGUAUAGGAUGUUUGGGUGAAGGCAGGGGCGUUGUCGUUGAUGUCGGCCACCUGCACUGUUAUGGUGUGCUGGGUUGUGAGCCUGGGUGUGCCCAAAUCCCAGACAGUGAUGGUGAUGUUGUACUCAGCUCUGCUCUCUCUAUCAAGUGGCCCCUCGGUCACUAAGGUGUAGUAAUUCUCAAACGUGGGUUUCAGGAGAAAUGGAAUAUUGUUCUGGAUAGAACACACUAUCCUUCCGUUGUCCCCCGAAUCAGAAUCAGAAACACUAAAAACAGCAACUACAGUCUCGGCGGAAUUUUCUGGGACAGGGACUGUGAGCUUCCUGAUCGCCAACUCUGGGGCGUUGUCAUUCACAUCCAACACCUGUAUAACCACAGUGCAUUUUCCUGAAAGGCCCCCUCCAUCGGUGGCUGCAAUUUCUAUGGUAUAAUGGUGACUUACCUCGAAAUCUAGCUCUUUGGUCAGACGGAUUUCUCCUGUGAUUUUGUCUAUUACAAAUGGUUGAGAUAAUCCAUCCCCUUGAAACAGAGAAUAGGCGACAUUGCCAUAUAUCCCAGCAUCUAAGUCCGUGGCAGAGACCAUGACAACUAAGGCAUUGAGGGGACUGUUCUCAGGAACUUGCACCUCAUAGAGUGACUGUAUAAACUGGGGGGCGUUAUCAUUGAUGUCCACGACNNNNNNNNNNNNNNNNNNNNNNNNNNNNNNNNNNNNNNNNNNNNNNNNNNNNNNNNNNNNNNNNNNNNNNNNNNNNNNNNNNNNNNNNNNNNNNNNNNNNNNNNNNNNNNNNUUCUGUCGCCCCACACAGUGCCUCCCGGUCUAGUUUUUCCUUUAAGAACAAAUUCCCAGUCUCUGCAUCCAUCUGCAAGAGCUCUUUGUUUCCUCUGUAAUGGAUUUGAGCUCCUCUAGUGGCCAGUUCUUCAACCCUGAGCCCCAGAUCUUUUGCCACGUUUGCCACCAAAUAGCCACUCUCCUUUUCUUCUGGCAUGGAAUAUCUAAUUGCCUCAGAGUCAGACUUCCAAAACAGCAACAAUAUAGUAAGAAAAAAGACUUGCCUUUGCCCUGGCAUUUUUGCUAGCGCUGUCUCCGUUGUGCAGAUUCAGUCCAGAAGGUGCUGCUUCAAGUGGAUUGCAACCACUCGUGAGGGUCCGUGCAAAUAUUGGAGUAAAUCCAAUUAGGGAGACGCCUUCUUCCCAAAUGAUCACACAAACCCUACCCAAUUACUUCCACCUCCAAAGCUUCCGAAAUUCUGCUUUUCAGGUUAAUGAAAUGACUUCCUGGGAGUCUGCAGAGCUCAUUCUUCAUAUUCUUAGCCUGCAGCGCCACCAAGUGUCCUUUUUUCCUCUUACAUUUCAUUUUGCCAUUUCAAAGCACAUUUAAAUCCUGAUGUGUUUCGGUAUCCUUUUAAUUUACACAAGUGGCCUGAAGUGUGAGCUCCGUUCUUAGCAACCAGAAAUUCUACAUAUGAUUUUGGUGAAUUAAAUUGGGCUGCAAGAAUAUAUUUUAUUUUUAUUUUUAAGCAGUUUUUGAUCACCUUUCUAAAGACUGCCACCAUUUGGAUUUUUGAGACAUGCACCCUCAAAGGCUCAGCUCCUCUGUCUAGUAUGCUGCUUGUGAUUUAAUAUCAGGUAGAAAAAGGACAAGAGAUCUGACCACAGUGACGGCUGGUAUCAACUCCGAGGCUUUAAGACCCAGAAGAAGCCAAUUUUCAGCCCGUGUCUGGCUCACAACAAGUCUGCUUUAAUGGAAGGGAGUUAAGGAGCUGUGAUACUUGAGAUUCUCAUCUGUACAUUUUAGAAUUUUAUUAUCUGCCAUAUUCACCAUCCGGCCAGGAGCAAGACCAAAGAAACUCUGCCUUGGAUCCUUCCAAGUGCUGAGCAUUCUGAAGAGUUCAUCUUUCGUGAUAUCAGGGAGAAUAUAGCCAUACUUCAUGGUGAGUUCAAGUCUUGCUUAGGGAAACUUGGCAGGGUUGGGCAGGUACCCCAAUUUUUUCCAUCAGUAUAAUAGGGCACCAGAGCUUCAGGUAGGAUCACUUGUUUUGGAAUGUGUUGUCCCCACAGAAAGAGUGGAACAGGUUUGUGCCAAAUCUUCAUACUUCGUGGGUCAUAAAAGGCUGUAGUAACAAAACCACCAUUUUUUCAAUUGUAGCAAUUGAAGCCAACUGCACCUCAAUAUUAACUUUUGCUUGAAAAAUAUCAGUACCUUCUUCAAAUGGCUGGACCCCAUAAUUGCUUUUAAGUGCUGGCAUGGUCACAUCUCUCCCAUUCAUAAUCUGGAUUAGGUCAAUAUAUUGAGUUGGAACAACUCGACUUAAAUCAACGAGAUCCUGUAGUCCCCUGAGACUCAAAGGCUGGUACUGGUGUCUGAAACCAUGUUCUUCAUUAAAUCCAUGUUUUGGGAUUCAGAUGUAAAAUAGAGUCUGCCCUCUGUCAGAGUCCAGCUAAGGCUGUGUUCCUCUCUGAUUUUCUCCUUUAUGGCCUCUGCCACAUUUCCUACGUUUUCUCGAAUCUCUUGGAUGUCUUUCCUAUUUUCUGGAAUUAGGGUUGGGCUUCAGGCUCUCCAGGAUCACUCACAACAAGGACCACCUCAGGUCCAGGUUGGACUUGCAGCUGUGUACCACGUCAUCCAUGAAUCUUUUCAGAGGCCAAGAAUACAUCUAAAUACAUUUUCAAACAAACUAAAAGGCAAUUAUUUGUUUUUAUAAGACUAUUGAGUAGACGAAUCCACUUUCUUGCAUAAGUUUGAAAUUUUAUUUUGUUCAAGAAGGUAAACAUGAUGAUAUAUAGAAUAAUUAAUUAUACACUUUUUAUAUUUGCUUUGAAAUACACCAUACAUCCAGGAGGAAAAAGUCAUAAUUGUAUAUUCAUUGAAUUUUUAUAAUGCUAUUUAGCUCAACUUAGACAAUAAAUAAAAUAGGCUAAAUUCCAAGAAAAGCUGCUCUUCUAUUGCUCGAUUACUUCUCCAAAUGUUAGGCAGUCUUCAUGUGUAGUUGUACUAAGACCAUAGAAGUGUAAGAGUUCCAGUUGUUCCACAUCUCUGAUAGCACUUGGUGUCUUUCUCAGUUUUUACAACAUUACUGAGCAUGCUGUGACUUAGUAGGGUAAAUUUCAUUAGCAUUUGUCUGCAUUCAUGAAGUUUUGUACAUUUUCUGUUUAGUGGCCAUCAGGUUACUGUCUUUUGAGAUGCUUGUUCAUGUUAUUUGUGUGUGUGUUUAUGUGUGUGUGUUUGUGUGUGUGUUUAUGUGUGUGUGUUUGUGUGUGUGUUUAUGUGUGUGUGUUUGUGUGUGUGUGUGUGUGUUUGUGUGUAUGUGUGUGGCUUCUCUUUGCUUGUUGCUUUGAGAAGUAUCUUGUAUAUUCUGAGUGUAAUUUCUUUUUUCAGAUAUAUAUGUUCAAAUAUCUCCCACUGUAUGUCUUGAAUUUUUUGAUAUUGUACUUUAAUCAAUAAAACAUCUUAAUUGUGUUUAGUUUG